CAAAUAAUCAAAAAAGCUCGUAUAAUUUUGAUAAUUAGGUUCAAAAGUUUCUACAGAUUUACCAUAAAUAAAUCUACUACGAGCUGACUUAAUU
rnacentral:ncRNA from 1 species